rnacentral:rRNA from 1 species
GCAGUAGCCGCGGGAAUACGGAGGGAGCUAGCGUUGUUCGGAAUCACUGGGCGUAAAGCGCACGUAGGCGGCUAUUCAAGUCAGGGGUGAAAGCCCGGGGCUCAACCCCGGAACUGCCUUUGAAACUAGAUAGCUUGAAUCUUGGAGAGGCGAGUGGAAUUCCGAGUGUAGAGGUGAAAUUCGUAGAUAUUCGGAAGAACACCAGUGGCGAAGGCGACUCGCUGGACAAGUAUUGACGCUGAGGCUCGAAAGCGUGGGGAGCAAACAGGAUUAGAUACCCGAGUAGUCCCUGUCUCUUAUAA